rnacentral:ncRNA from 1 species
AUUCCGGUGAAAACGCCCUACCGUACCCCACCCCGGGUACAAGGAGUAGGUAUCAGGCACGACAUUUUUUCAGCCCACGACGCCUCGCUUAUAGCCACACCCCCAAGGGAACUCAGCAGUGAUAGACAUUGAGCCAUAAGUGAAAGCUUGACUCAGUCAGGGUUAAGAGGGUCGGUAAAACUCGUGCCAGCUACCGCGGUUAUACGAGAGACCCAAAUUGACAAGUUCGGCGUAAAGCGUGGUUAAGGAUAACUUAAAGUAAAGCCGAAUAUACUCAAGGCUGUUAUAAGCUCCCGAUUACAAGAAGCCCGACUACGAAAGUGACUUUACAAUACCUGAUCCCACGAAAGCUAGGGUACAAACUGGGAUUAGAUACCCCACUAUGCCUAGCCUCAAACAAUGAUAAUAACUUACACACAUUAUCCGCCAGGGGAUUACAAGCAAUGCUUAAAACCCAAAGGACUUGACGGUGCUUUAGACCCACCUAGAGGAGCCUGUUCUAGAACCGACAACCCCCGUUCAACCUCACCCUCCCUUGUUUUCCCCGCCUAUAUACCGCCGUCGUCAGCCUACCCCCUGAGGGUUAAAUAGUAAGCGAAAUUGGCCCACCCCAACACGUCAGGUCGAGGUGUAGCGCAUGAGAGGGGAUGAAAUGGGCUACAUUCCCUACUACAGGGCACACGAAUUACAUGUUGAAAUACAUAUCUGAAGGAGGAUUUAGCAGUAAGCAAAAAAUAGAGAGUUAAGCUGAAACUGGCCCUGAAGCGAGCACACACCGCCCGUCACUCUCCCCCGCCUAAAAUCUGAUAGAUACCUUAACAAAUGUCUUAAGGCAAUGGGGAGGCAAGUCGUAACAUGGUAAGUGUACCGGAAGGUGCACUUGGAAAAAC